rnacentral:lncRNA from 1 species
AACAUUUACGGUAGUCUUCAGUACAAUCAAAUCCUUUGCGAGAUUUACACAAAAAGCUCUAAAAUAAUUAAAAUCGUUAAAAAUCUUUGAAAAAUAUCCGUUAUUUUCUUAAAUCACCCAAUUCGGCCGAUCCUUGGAAUUAUUUGAUUACUAGUACUCUUCACAUACCCAUACAAAAAUGUGUUGCGGACCCUGUGGAGGUUGCUGCAGCGGUGGCAACUGCGGCGGUUGUUGCUGCCCAUGUAUCACUAUAUACACGUGCUGUACCAAGAUUUGCUAAUGUGCUAGUGUUGGCAGCCCCGAGAUCAUCGCAGACAAGUCAUGGCGUCUGCAGCGAUUUCGUCGAAGGGCGAUCUUUCCGCUUCGUAUUCGCAGUGCUGUUUUUGUGGAAAUAAACUAUUGAAUUAAGCGUAAAA